UUGCGCAUGGGCGAAAGCCUGNCGCAGCCAUGCCGCGUGAAUGAUGAAGGUCUUAGGAUUGUAAAAUUCUUUCACCGGGGACGAUAAUGACGGUACCCGGAGAAGAAGCCCCGGCUAACUUCGUGCCAGCAGCCGCGGUAAUACGAAGGGGGCUAGCGUUGCUCGGAAUUACNUGGGCGUAAAGGGAGCGUAGGCGGAUAGUUUAGUCAGAGGUGAAAGCCCAGGGCUCAACCUUGGAAUUGCCUUUGAUACUGGCUAUCUUGAGUACGGAAGAGGUAUGUGGAACUCCGAGUGUAGAGGANAAAUUCGUAGAUAUUCGGAAGAACACCAGUGGCGAAGGCGACAUACUGGUCCGUUACUGACGCUGAGGCUCGAAAGCGUGGGGAGCAAACAGGAUUAGAUACCCUGGUAGUCCACGCUGUAAACGAUGAGUGCUAGUUGUCGGCAGGCAUGCCUGUCGGUGACGCAGCUAACGCAUUAAGCACUCCGCCUGGGGAGUACGGUCGCAAGAUUAAAACUCAAAAAAAUUGACGGA
rnacentral:rRNA from 1 species